GUUCUCACAGUGCAUUUACACAUAUUUCCACAGAUAUAUAGCACUUAUACUAGACUGUUUAAAAUUUGAGUGAUAUCUUUCAAAUUUAUUAAUAUCUAACAAGCCUAAUAAGCUAACCAAUGUUUUCAGCUUGAAUUUUUCCAUUCAGUACAGACAUGUAUGUAAUGAAAAAUAUAAAACAAUGGCCACUCCAACAAGUUUAAAAGACUUAAACCUUCAAUUGUAAGAAGAGGAAGUAAUUUCUCCCAUCUGGGAAAACAUCUGCUAAUCAUCAAGAUUUAAUGGAUGGACUGUAUGACCGGCAACCACAGGACCAUUAGAGGUACUAGGAACAUAACAAGAGUCUAUCAUGAGAACAAUGCUGAUUGAGAGUCUUCUUGUAACGCGAUAUAGCUGGCCGGAGUGGCCAAGCGGUUCUAGGCGCUUCAGUCUGGAACCGCACGACUGCUACGCUCGCAGGUUUGAAUCCUGCCUCAAACAUGGAUGUGUGUGAUGUCAUUAGGUUAGUUAGGUUUAAGUAGUUCUAAGUUCUAGGGGAUUGAUGACCUCAGAUGUUGCGUCCCAUUGUGCACAGAGCCAUUUGAACCAUUUUUGUAACACGAUAAAUGAGUUCUACAUCCUUUCCAUUGUAAUCCGAUGGGUCUGUACUCAUAUAGAUUCCUUCCUUCAUUGCUGGAGGCAAUGCUAAAUGUAGUUACACAAUAGUCUAUUCAGAGUAAAUGCCGAUGCUUCCCAUCUGCCCCAUAAAUAAAAAAUAAGCUUCCAUGAAUAAUGUGAAAGAAAUUAUGUAUAAUAUUUCUUAUGCAAAGUUUUGUGGCACACAAACAUAUGGAUGUAUAUAUGUACAUAAGAAUGAUCGAUGUAACUGAGGUUACGCAUAUUUAUUCUAUAAUUUGAAUGUAAAUAAGCCUAUUAUUUACAAGCUAAACUUGUUCGGCUGUUUAUGAAGUAAGUGUGAUGGCAAUGUCAGCAGUGAUAUGUAAUAUACGAAUGUAUUACAAUUCUGACUCUGGAAAUAAAGGUUUUUUGAAGAGUAA